rnacentral:rRNA from 1 species
UAGGGAAUCUUCCACAAUGGACGAAAGUCUGAUGGAGCAACGCCGCGUGAGUGAAGAAGGGUUUCGGCUCGUAAAGCUCUGUUGGUAGUGAAGAAAGAUAGAGGUAGUAACUGGCCUUUAUUUGACGGUAAUUACUUAGAAAGUCACGGCUAACUACGUGCCAGCAGCCGCGGUAAUACGUAGGUGGCAAGCGUUGUCCGGAUUUAUUGGGCGUAAAGCGAGUGCAGGCGGUUCAAUAAGUCUGAUGUGAAAGCCUUCGGCUCAACCGGAGAAUUGCAUCAGAAACUGUUGAACUUGAGUGCAGAAGAGGAGAGUGGAACUCCAUGUGUAGCGGUGGAAUGCGUAGAUAUAUGGAAGAACACCAGUGGCGAAGGCGGCUCUCUGGUCUGCAACUGACGCUGAGGCUCGAAAGCAUGGGUAGCGAAC